rnacentral:rRNA from 1 species
UACGGGGGGGCAAGCGUUGUUCGGAAUUACUGGGCGUAAAGGGCUCGUAGGCGGCCAACUAAGUCAGACGUGAAAUCCCUCGGCUUAACCGGGGAACUGCGUCUGAUACUGGAUGGCUUGAGGUUGGGAGAGGGAUGCGGAAUUCCAGGUGUAGCGGUGAAAUGCGUAGAUAUCUGGAGGAACACCGGUGGCGAAGGCGGCAUCCUGGACCAAUUCUGACGCUGAGUGAGCGAAAGCCAGGGGAGCAAACGGG